rnacentral:rRNA from 1 species
AGAGUUUGAUCCUGGCUCAGAUUGAACGCUGGCGGCAGGCCUAACACAUGCAAGUCGAGCGGUAACAGGAAUUAGCUUGCUAAUUCGCUGACGAGCGGCGGACGGGUGAGUAAUGCCUGGGAAUAUGCCUUAGUGUGGGGGAUAACUAUUGGAAACGAUAGCUAAUACCGCAUAAUGUCUUCGGACCAAAGAGGGGGAUCUUCGGACCUCUCGCGCUAAGAUUAGCCCAGGUGAGAUUAGCUUGUUGGUGAGGUAAGAGCUCACCAAGGCGACGAUCUCUAGCUGGUCUGAGAGGAUGAUCAGCCACACUGGAACUGAGACACGGUCCAGACUCCUACGGGAGGCGGCAGUGGGGAAUAUUGCACAAUGGGCGAAAGCCUGAUGCAGCCAUGCCGCGUGUAUGAAGAAGGCCUUCGGGUUGUAAAGUACUUUCAGUCGUGAGGAAGGGUGUGUAGUUAAUAGCUGCACAUCUUGACGUUAGCGACAGAAGAAGCACCGGCUAACUCCGUGCCAGCAGCCGCGGUAAUACGGAGGGUGCGAGCGUUAAUCGGAAUUACUGGGCGUAAAGCGCAUGCAGGUGGUUCACUAAGUCAGAUGUGAAAGCCCGGGGCUCAACCUCGGAACCGCAUUUGAAACUGGUGAACUAGAGUGCUGUAGAGGGGGGUAGAAUUUCCAACUCUGUAGAGGGGGGUAGAAUUUCA